GUGGGGAAUUUUCCGCAAUGGGCGAAAGCCUGACGGAGCAAUACCGCGUGAGGGAGGAAGGCUCUUGGGUUGUAAACCUCUUUUCUCAGGGAAGAACACAAUGACGGUACCUGAGGAAUCAGCAUCGGCUAACUCCGUGCCAGCAGCCGCGGUAAUACGGAGGAUGCAAGCGUUAUCCGGAAUGAUUGGGCGUAAAGCGUCCGCAGGUGGCUUUGCAAGUCUGCUGUCAAAGCUCAGGGCUUAACCCUGAAUCGGCGGUGGAAACUGAAAGGCUAGAGUGUGGUAGGGGCAGAGGGAAUUCCCAGUGUAGCGGUGAAAUGCGUAGAGAUUGGGAAGAACACCAGUGGCGAAAGCGCUCUGCUAGACCGCAACUGACACUCAUGGACGAAAGCUAGGGGAGCGAAUGGGAUUAGAAACCCUGGUAGUCC
rnacentral:rRNA from 1 species